rnacentral:rRNA from 1 species
AGAGUUUGAUUAUGGCUCAGGGUGAACGCUGGCGGCGUGCUUGACACAUGCAAGUCGAACGGUAUGUGGCAACACAUAGAGUGGCGAACGGGUGAGUAACACGUGGGAACGUACCCUCUGCAGGGGGAUAACUGACCGAAAGGACAGCUAAUACCGCAUAAGACCGAGAGGAGAAAGGUGCAACAGCAUCGGCAGAGGAGCGGCCCGCGGACCAUCAGCUAGUUGGUGGGGUAAGAGCCUACCAAGGCAACGACGGAUAGCCGGCGUGAGAGCGUGGCCGGCCACAAGGACACUAAGAUACGGGUCCUACUCCUACGGGAGGCAGCAGUGCGGAAUUUUAGAUAAUGGAGGCAACUCUGAUCUAGCGACGCCGCGUGCAGGAAGAAGGUCUUCGGAUUGUAAACUGCUGUGGUAAGGGAAAAAUGCCAUGUAGAGUGGAAAGCUACAUGGAGGGAUGGUACUUUACUAGAAAGCCCCGGCUAACUACGUGCCAGCAGCCGCGGUAAUACGUAGGGGGCGAGCGUUACCCGGAAUCACUGGGCGUAAAGGGAGCGUAGGUGGCCUGACAUGUCGACUGUGAAAACCCGGAGCUCAACUCCGGACUUGCAGUUGAAACUGCCAGGCUUGAGGACGGUAGAGGAAGACGGAACUGCCAGUGUAGGGGUAAAAUCCUUAGAUAUUGGCAGGAACGCCGGUGACGAAGGUGGUUUUCUGGGCCGGUUCUGACACUGAUGCUCGAAAGCCAGGGGAGCGAACGGGAUUAGAUACCCUGGUAGUC